AGAGUUUGAUCCUGGCUCAGGACGAACGCUGGCGGCGUGCCUAACACAUGCAAGUCGAACGGAACUGUUUUGAAAGAUUUCUUCGGAAUGAAUUUGAUUUAGUUUAGUGGCGGACGGGUGAGUAACGCGUGAGUAACCUGCCUUCAAGAGGGGGAUAACAUUCUGAAAAGAAUGCUAAUACCGCAUGACAUAUCAGAAUCACAUGAUUUUGAUAUCAAAGAUUUUAUCGCUUGAAGAUGGACUCGCGUCCGAUUAGUUAGUUGGUGAGGUAACGGCUCACCAAGACCGCGAUCGGUAGCCGGACUGAGAGGUUGAACGGCCACAUUGGGACUGAGACACGGCCCAGACUCCUACGGGAGGCAGCAGUGGGGGAUAUUGCGCAAUGGGGGCAACCCUGACGCAGCAACGCCGCGUGAAGGAUGAAGGUUUUCGGAUUGUAAACUUCUUUUAUUAAGGACGAAAAAUGACGGUACUUAAUGAAUAAGCUCCGGCUAACUACGUGCCAGCAGCCGCGGUAAUACGUAGGGAGCAAGCGUUGUCCGGAUUUACUGGGUGUAAAGGGUGCGUAGGCGGCUUUGCAAGUCAGAUGUGAAAUCUAUGGGCUCAACCCAUAAACUGCAUUUGAAACUGUAGAGCUUGAGUGAAGUAGAGGCAGGCGGAAUUCCCCGUGUAGCGGUGAAAUGCGUAGAGAUGGGGAGGAACACCAGUGGCGAAGGCGGCCUGCUGGGCUUUAACUGACGCUGAGGCACGAAAGCGUGGGUAGCAAACAGGAUUAGAUACCCUGGUAGUCCACGCUGUAAACGAUGAUUACUAGGUGUGGGGGGUCUGACCCCUUCCGUGCCGGAGUUAACACAAUAAGUAAUCCACCUGGGGAGUACGGCCGCAAGGUUGAAACUCAA
rnacentral:rRNA from 1 species